rnacentral:rRNA from 1 species
AAUUCAGAGAUGGAUUUGUGCCUUCGGGAACCGUGAGACAGGUGCUGCAUGGCUGUCGUCAGCUCGUGUUGUGAAAUGUUGGGUUAAGUCCCGCAACGAGCGCAACCCUUAUCCUUUGUUGCCAGCGGUCCGGCCGGGAACUCAAAGGAGACUGCCAGUGAUAAACUGGAGGAAGGUGGGGAUGACGUCAAGUCAUCAUGGCCCUUACGACCAGGGCUACACACGUGCUACAAUGGCGCAUACAAAGAGAAGCGACCUCGC